CCUACGGGAGGCAGCAGUGGGGAAUAUUGGACAAUGGGGGGAACCCUGAUCCAGCCAUGCCGCGUGUGUGAAGAAGGCCCUCGGGUUGUAAAGCACUUUCAGUGAGGAAGAACGCCUGGUGGUUAAUACCCAUCAGGAAAGACAUCACUCACAGAAGAAGCACCGGCUAACUCCGUGCCAGCAGCCGCGGGAAUACGGAGGGUGCGAGCGUUAAUCGGAAUUACUGGGCGUAAAGCGCGCGUAGGUGGCUUGAUAAGCCGGUUGUGAAAGCCCCGGGCUCAACCUGGGAACGGCAUCCGGAACUGUCAAGCUAGAGUGCAGGAGAGGAAGGUAGAAUUCCCGGUGGAGCGGUGAAAUGCGUAGAGAUCGGGAGGAAUACCAGUGGCGAAGGCGGCCUUCUGGACUGACACUGACACUGAGGUGCGAAAGCGUGGGUAGCAAACAGGAUUAGAUACCCUGGUAGUC
rnacentral:rRNA from 1 species